rnacentral:tRNA from 1 species
GGUUGUUUGGCCGAGCGGUCUAAGGCGCCUGAUUCAAGACUACUUCUUAUCACUGCAAAACAGUGAGAAAUCUCAGGUAUCGUAAGAUGCAAGAGUUCGAAUCUCUUAGCAACCA